rnacentral:lncRNA from 1 species
UGGAAUAGUUUACAUGGACUCUGAGGGCCAAUCAUCCUGAGGAUAUACAAGUAGUACCAGGUAACAGUUUUGUGUAAGGCCAGACACUUCUUCUAUAGUAUAGCUAUUUAUGGCUUGUUCAUACUCUAGGAUAUAACCUCACACUGGGUGAAUGUUUUGAAUACCAACUAAAUGCAUGAAGUCACCAAGCCAGAUUAGUGUAGAAUCCUUUAUGUCUUCUACCUUGGCCCCCUUCCUCAGGAGUAAUUAGAGACAGACGCCUAGGAAAUCCUCCUACAAUGCAAAACCACAUUAAGAUGGAGAAAUUUCAAUUUCAAGCCAACAUAAGCCACAUAAGAGUUCCAGGCUGGUCAGAGCUACGUGGUUUAAAACAAUCCACUUUAUUUUCAUUACCUGCUGCUGAUAACAAAUAUAGAGAUCCCCCAGUGAUUUUGUUUGAAGAGGUACAGAAAACAUUACAACAAGAUUAAAUAUAUUACAGUGAACUAUGUGCAGCACUAUAAGAAAAUAUCAAAAUACAUUCCAUAGAUGUGUUAAAUUUAAAAAUGAUAAAUAAAAGCAUUAAAACAAAAGGUAAGGGGGAGGAAUUUAUCAAGAGAAUUUUAAGAGCUUUUGUAGUAAUCUGAUGUCCACUCAUGAAUAGAACAGAAUUGGGAAGGCUGGUUUACUUCACUGGUAGUUUUUGUUACUGGUAUUAUGUGCUCUGGUGUAUCAGUCCUUGGGGAAAGUUUUAGUUCAAGUAAAUGUGUGUAGAGCCCAUUAGAGCAAACUUUGUAGGAAUCCUAGCAAAGGUGAAUAGGUGAAACUUCUAUCCUUAGCCUCCUGCCUUGAAUAACUCUGAGUGUAUCAACAUUGGUUCUCUUUUGAAAUGGACAAUGUUCUUAUUCUUGAUGAAAAAAUAAAAUACUGGUGUGUGUGUGUGUGUGUGUUUGUGUGUGUGUGUGUGUGUGUGUGUGUGUGUGUGUGUGUGUGUUUGUGUGUGUGUCCCAUAAAAGAUGCAUUGGUUUCCUAAGAUGAAUGUUUCCGUGUUCCGCAUGAUCACUAUUCUAGCAUAUUUGGUUGUCAAAGAGCUCCUUCCCCUGGUAUCACUUCCUCUGCUAUCAGUGUUCAGCACUGGCCCUGCUCAUUAUCUUGUUCUAAUGUCAGAGGCAGAUAACAAUCUUUCCCAAACAGCAGACAGACUUAUAGUGGCAGAAUUAAUUAAAAUUGAUUCACACAUUGUGUCAUGUAAAGGUCUUCUGAGAGCUUUCUUUGCUACAUCCCUCUCGGUUUCCUGGUGUUGUACUACAUGACCCAGGUGGGAAUCACUGCGUGCGAAUACUAAUUAGAAACCUGAAUAGAACUGUGUACACUGAGUGGCAGUGGAAUGCAUGAAGGGAAUUUAGAACUUACUUCAUUUAAGGAUUUCAUAAGGGAUUAAUUCUUUAUUCCGACUUCUUAAGAUUUUAUUCAGAGGAGGACAAAGCUGAUGAAUCAAGGUUAUCAUAAAUCUUGUAAAUGAAUACUAUAUUUUAAUCGUUAAUUGUUCAAGACUGUAACCUUUUAAAAGCAUAUGAAGCAUUAGAAAUAAAGGCAACAGAAGUAUAAACAUGUAUCUAUAUUAAUAAUCUAAUUAAUUUUAGUGAAGAAUAUGGAUAAUACUAUAUCUGUCCAUAACAAAUAGCUGAAAAUAGACAAUUUUAUACUUAUGUUCCAUGUAGAAUAACGUUUAUAAACAACAAAGUUCUAAUAUAUUUCUUUACUUGGUCAAUCUGGUGAUAGAACACUGAACCUUGUGCAUUGUGGAGAACUGUAAUAGAACAUCUAGACUUAUGUAGGUACACAUUUACUGUUAUUACCUUUAGUUAACACAGUAACAUCUUAUUCAGGACAGCACUUGGCCUUUUUUCACUAAGGAUAUAUACUAGCUACAGUCUGUUAUAAUUUGCUGUCACAAGGAAACAAACACUUGAGCAAGGUAGACAUCAUAUUUUCAUGGACACAAUCCAAACACUUAAAUCUUCAUGUAUCACUAAUAUUUCAUUUGAUAAUAGUAGGGGUACUUCUCAGAGAUAUUCACAUAUGCAGUUUUUUUCAAUGAACAUAUUUUAUCCUCAACUUUGGGGAGAAUAAAUGUAUACCCCAGGGAAUGGAGACCCCCAUGGUCCAUGACCCAGUUUACAAGUCACCUAAUGGUCAUGUUGCAACACUAGUGCAAUGCUAUGUCCAUCAGCCCCUCAAUAAGAAGGAUAUGAUGAAGUUCACAGAGUUGUUAACUCUGAUGAAGGAUUGCAAAAACCAAAAGGACAGUUCAAGUUCCCACAAUGAAAGAUAGAAAUCAUGCAAGAUUAUUUUACAGUUCUCAUAACUACAUUUUCAUAGCUAAUAAUCCAUUUAGAUGGUAGGAGUUUCAUAAUGAAGAUAAUUAUAAUUUUUCUUUUAAUUUUAUGUGUAUGAGUGUUUUUCCUGCAUGUAUAAGUGUGUGACAGUGGUCCUGGUCUACAGAAGACAGACAAGGGUACUGGUUAGUCUGGAACUGGAGGCCAGUACUCUUGACAUUUAAACCAACUCUCAAGCUUCUUCCAGUUUCACACAUUCAACAUUAUUAAAAUAUUUGAUAUGUAUGCUAGGAAUAAAUUAUUAUUAGAUGAGUAACCAUUGCAGUUACAGCCUCAAUAUGUUUAAGCUUUACAAUAGCUCAAAACAUAGUCGGUAUAAGUAAAUUAAGAUAUUUAAGAAAAUGUGUUGUUUGUUACACUAAACACUGCUUUUGUUAGUUUCAUAUGCUUUUUUUUUUCUUUUACUACAUAUGCCCUUUUAAUGUGGUGAUUUCUACAACACAAUUAACCUUGAUAGGAUAUCAUACCCUAAAAUCCUUGAGAGAAAUGCCUCAGAACAAUCAAUUAGUUCACCAUAUAUGAAGUCAUUUAUAUAAAUACCUGUUACC